rnacentral:tRNA from 1 species
GGGCCCAUAGCUCAGUUGGUUAGAGCAGUCGACUCAUAAUCGAUUGGUCGUAGGUUCAAGUCCUACUGGGCCC